rnacentral:tRNA from 1 species
GGGGCUGUAGUUCAACUGGUUAGAGCACCGGAUUGUCAAUCCGGAAGUUAGGGAUUCGAGUUCCCUCGGCCCCGCCA